CUACGGGUGGCUGCAGUGAGGAAUAUUGGUCAAUGGGCGCAAGCCUGAACCAGCCAUCCCGCGUGCAGGAUGACGGCCCUAUGGGUUGUAAACUGCUUUUGUUUGCCAAGAAUGGCCACUACGUGUAGUGGUUUGACGGUAGCAGAUGAAUAAGGACCGGCUAACUCCGUGCCAGCAGGCCGCGGUAAUACGGAGGGUCCAAGCGUUAUCCGGAUUCAUUGGGUUUAAAGGGUGCGCAGGCGGGCCUUUAAGUCAGUGGUGAAAUCUUGCCGCUUAACGGUAAAAUUGCCAUUGAUACUGAAGGUCUUGAAUAUAGUUGAGGUAGGCGGAAUGUGUUGUGUAGCGGUGAAAUGCAUAGAUAUGACACAGAACGCCGAUUGCGAAGGCAGCUUACUAAGCUAUGAUUGACGCUGAGGCACGAAAGCGUGGGGAGCGAACAGGAUUAGAUACCCGAGUAGUC
rnacentral:rRNA from 1 species